rnacentral:rRNA from 1 species
CAGCAGCCACGGUAAUACGAAGGGGGCUAGCGUUGCUCGGAAUUACUGGGCGUAAAGGGAGCGUAGGCGGACAGUUAAGUCGGGGGUGAAAGCCCGGGGCUCAACCCCGGAAUUGCCUUCGAUACUGGCUGUCUUGAGUAUGAGAGAGGUGUGUGGAACUCCGAGUGUAGAGGUGAAAUUCGUAGAUAUUCGGAAGAACACCAGUGGCGAAGGCGACACACUGGCUCAUUACUGACGCUGAGGCGCGAAAGCGUGGGGAGCAAACAGGAUUAGAUACCCCAGUAGUCCCUGUCUCUUAUAC